AAAAGAAACCAACAGGGAUUGCCUCAGUAACGGCGAGUGAAGCGGCAAAAGCUCAAAUUUUAAAGCUGGCACCUCCGGUGUCCGCGUUGUAAUUUUGUGAGGCAUCUCCGGGUGGGGCGCCGGCCUAAGUUCCUUGGAACAGGACGUCAUAGGGGGUGAGAAUCCCGUGCUUGGCUGGCUGUCCCCGUCCAUGUGAGGUGUCUUCGACGAGUCGAGUUGUUUGGGAAUGCAGCUCAAAAUGGGUGGUAAAUUUCAUCUAAAGCUAAAUAUUGGUGGGAGACCGAUAGCGCACAAGUAGAGUGAUCGAAAGAUGAAAAGCACUUUGAAAAUAGAGUUAAAAAGUACGUGAAAUUGUUGAAAGGGAAGCGCUUGAGACCAGACUUCGGUGGGGAGUGAUCAGCCGUCCUUCUGGGCGGUGCACUUGCCCCCCUCCGGGCCAGCAUCGGUUGGGACGGCGGGAUAAAGGUCCCGGGAAUGUGGCUCCUCUCGGGGAGUGUUAUAGCCCGGGUGAAUGCCGCCAGCCCCGACCGAGGACCGCGCCUUCGGGCUAGGAUGCUUGGCAUAAUGGUCUUCAGCGAC
rnacentral:rRNA from 1 species